ensembl:lncRNA
CACACGGUGGUAGGAGAAGCCCCCGGCAGCGCUGCGGGCCCCUCUGUGCUCCAUUCCCUCCCCCCACCCGCAGCCCCGGCCACAGCUGCGACGAACGGAGAGCAAAAAGCUCUCCUCCGAAGGGCUGAGGGAUCGGCCAGCAGCAGUGCUGGGUGCCAAACUGCCGCAGCUCAGCUCAGGGGUUGCGUUCACUGAGCUCUGAAGGUUCUGGACUCCCCGUUCUGCAGUGCAGGAGCUGCACCUCUGAAGGCCAUCUGGUCCCACCCCCUGCGAUAAGCGGGGACACCCACAGAUCCAUCAGGUGCUCAGAGCCCACCCAGUCUGACCUUGGCUGUACCCAUGGAUGGGACGUCCACCACCGCAGCACUCAGCUCUCCAGGAGCAGGCUGACACACGGACCUGGAGGAGAAGGGCAAGUUGUCGUGGCCGGCGCUGGCGCAGCAGUAGAAGCCCUGCAGGGUUUUCACCACCCGUCCUCUCGCUGGGCUGAUGUUUGAUUGCAUCCCACAGCAGCAGACUGGAGCUCCACAAACACAUGGGGAAGGCACAGCUCAUGCCAAAGGCUGUUCCCAGCAGGAGAUGGGAGACUUGGAUUGGCACAUCUCUUGGCUUCACAGAGUGGCUCUGGGCACUGGUCCUUUGGGAUGGUGGUCUGCAGCACUGCUCCAUUGCCCAGUGCUGGACUUUGCUCCCCAACCUCCCCGCUGGGAUUUCCCAUGGCUCGGAGCUGCAGAGCUGGGUGCCGGCCUUGGCAAACAGCCAGAGCUGGGAGUGCAGCCGGCUCACCCUGCCUGCAGGGCAACUCACCGUGGCAAUGCCUGCAGGCCCGGCCUGCCUGCAAACAGCUGCAGAGCACUGUGGGGUCACCGGGGCUCGGUGUGACAUGAGGACAGGGUGUUCAUUCCCAAUACAACAGCCAGCUGGGAAAUCCCUGUCCUCGUGUGGAGCUGCCCAUGCUCAGCCCUUGGUGCCAUUUGCUAAGGCAGCAGCCAGCGUGUGGCUGAGUCUGCAGGAUUGGCCUUUCCACAGCAAGGUCACUGUUUUUCAUCCCCAGCAUCCCGUCUUCCAUCCACAGAUC